rnacentral:tRNA from 1 species
GCUGUGAUGGCCGAGUGGUUAAGGCGUUGGACAUGAAAUCCAAUGGGGUUUCCCCGCACAGGUUCGAACCCUGUUCACAGCG